GAGUGCAAUCCCAAAAUUUGACGUGUUCCCUUAUAGGCCCAUAAAAGGGUCACUCUAUUGCCUUGUGAAGGGGUCCUUCUUUCAGCCAAAAAUUCCCCCUCACCAGCAUUUUCUCAAUUUCAAGAUCUGAAACUGGAAUUCAAACUCAAAAUAACCAAAAACAACAUGAAAAUUCAAAAUUAAAAAAAGGUAGUUACUGUUUCAUUGGCAUUUCCAGUUUGGUUUCAAGUUUCAUAGUUUCAAAUUUUGCUGUUUGAGAUGCCAAGGGUAUACACGACUAAUUUAGGGUGAAGAGAGAGGAUCCAAUCUAACUGGUCUUUGAUCGAGCUUGGGUUGUGUUAAAAGUAUGAUCGUUCUGGAUAAUUUUUAAGAGUUUUGGGUCUAUUAGGGAAUCGAGUCAAGUCUGGUAUGUCGUUUUGGUGAUUUCAACAUCUUCUAGGCUAUAGCUUGAUUCCAUGGGCUAUGUAUUAUUGUUGUUCGCAUAUAUGUUGGUUUGCUGUGGUAUUGCUGUUGCUGAUUUUCUUCUUCUAUUGCAAAUUCUAUUUCCAGGUACCAUUAUGAACUCGUUGUAAUGUAAUUUUCAGCUGGAAGGUGAAAUAAAUAAGUUUCAUCGAUUUUAUAUGUUAGUGAAUGCCUCAUGUUGAUUGCUAGAUUGUAAUUAAGUUUUGUUAUUGUUGUAUUGAUAUUGCAUAAGGCUAUACGAAUUUCAUUGUAGCUAUAAGGUUGUACAAUUAGGGCAUUGGUAGUUUGCUUGGAAUUGGUUAAGCUGGAAUCACUAGCGAAAAGAAAAGAGAUUUCAUUAUUGAGCCGAUCAUUUUUAGUUUACCCGAGUAAUGGAAUACAGUAUCAACAUAUUGUUCACCUAAUUGAUGUGCAGUAAUUUGGAUAACUUGAGUUGAAAACAAUUGGUC
rnacentral:lncRNA from 1 species